GUUGGAUAAAAGAACUCACUGGAGCAGGGAAGGAGAACAAAACAGCGCCGGGAGGUGACCGAACAGCUCUGGAUCCUCCAACAGCAGAAUUCCCAGCUGGAGCCAGGGACACAGGGACUGCCUUCCCAAACCCUCAAGGACAGCGGGUGGCAGAGCCACCUCCCCACAGCCACAGGGAGCCUGGAGGAGCCAAUUCCUGUCCUGGGUGAUCCCGGGAUGCUUCUGCAGCCCCAGGGGCCCAGGAAUGCUGUGGCAGCCAGCAUCAGCCACUGGAGAUUUAAAGAAGAAAAUGCUUUUUCUGGCUGAUGUGACCCAAAUCAGGAAUAAAUAAUCCUUUACUCUCACUAGCCCUUUUCCCUCCUCUUUUCUCU